UAAAUGCCUUAAGUGGGCGUUGCUCGUACCCCACAUGCUACUUGUCGGAAAAAAUAAGUAAAUCACAAAUCUGCAGCCCUCUUAAGUUUGUCCUUAAGUUUGUAAGAUCCCUAUAGUGUUGCAUAAAUAUUUAUAUAAUUAUAACCAAUACGUCGCGUUUUUUCAGGUUUUGAACACUAUAUAGUACAGUCCAACCGAAUUCGACGUCUCAGCUUCUUGAAGGCAUCCCCACUCUGACGAUGGAUCUUCAGUUCUUUUUUUCUCUCCAAGGAUACAGAAUAACACAGGGAAUCAGUGGAAAAUUGAAAUAGACUACUAAAAGUGAGAAGAAAUUUUACAGAAUGGUGAAGAAAGGUUGUUUUCGAAUCCCAUUGAGGAAAACUUGAUAUAUCUCAUAUGUUUAACACUAUGGAGUUCGAUAGGAUCCCUCUUAUUUAGUUACAAUAACUAAAAUAUGAAGAAAAUAGCUACUACACUAUGAUUAUAUAUUGUAUAGAUAUUAUACUAUGAUUAUAUAAUGUAUACUAUGAUGAUAUAUUGUGCAUGCUAAACCAGUUGAUGUAAGUAAAA